GGGGAUGUAGCUCAUUUGGCAGAGCGCGCCAUUUGCAUUGUCGAGAUAUAGGUUUCAAUUCCCUGCAUCUCCA
rnacentral:tRNA from 1 species